AGCAGCCGCGGUAAUUCCAGCUCCAAUAGCGUAUAUUAAAGUUGUUGCAGUUAAAAAGCUCGUAGUUGAAUUUCGGGAUCAAUAUGUUGGUCGUGCCUUGGUACGUACUGGCAUUAUUGGUUUCUACCUUCUGAAGAACCUCGAUGUCAUUAAUUUGGUGUCUUGGGGAAUCAGGACUGUUACUUUGAAAAAAUUAGAGUGUUUAAAGCAGGCUCGCGCUUGAAUACAUUAGCAUGGAAUAAUGAAAUAGGACGUUUGAUUCUAUUUUGUUGGUUUCUAGGAUCGACGUAAUGAUUAAUAGGGAUAGUUGGGGGCAUUAGUAUUCAAUUGUCAGAGGUGAAAUUCUUGGAUUUAUUGAAGACUAACUACUGCGAAAGCAUUUGCCAAGGAUGUUUUCAUUAAUCAAGAACGAAAGUUAGGGGAUCGAAGACGAUCAGAUACCGUCGUAGUCUUAACCAUAAACUAUGCCCGACUAGGGGAUCGGAUGAUGUUAAUUUUUUAAAUGACUUCAUUUCGGCGC
rnacentral:rRNA from 1 species